rnacentral:rRNA from 1 species
CCUACGGGCGGCUGCAGUCGAGAAUCAUUCACAAUGGGGGAAACCCUGAUGGUGCGACGCCGCGUGGGGGAAUGAAGGUCUUCGGAUUGUAAACCCCUGUCAUGUGGGAGCAAAUUAAAAAGAUAGUACCACAAGAGGAAGAGACGGCUAACUCUGUGCCAGCAGCCGCGGUAAUACAGAGGUCUCAAGCGUUGUUCGGAAUCACUGGGCGUAAGGCGUGCGUAGGCUGUUUCGUAAGUCGUGUGUGAAAGGCGCGGGCUCAACCCGCGGACGGCACAUGAUACUGCGAGACUAGAGUAAUGGAGGGGGAACCGGAAUUCUCGGGGUAGCAGUGAAAUGCGUAGAUAUCGAGAGGAACACUCGUGGCGAAGGCGGGUUCCUGGACAUUAACUGACGCUGAGGCACGAAGGCCAGGGGAGCGAAAGGGAUUAGAUACCCGUGUAGUC